UUGCUUUUUUAUGUUUGUUAUUAUCCAUCUAUGUACCAAAGGCUAAAAGGCUGAUGCAUUGCUUGAUGAUGACGAUGUGAAACAACUGGACCUCAUCCAUCACAUCGCAUCUGUGCAGUUCAAACUUUGAGGAUCAGAUCUUUACAUACAAGAAAGUGUCCACAAUGAAAACUGCAUGACUGUUCUUAACAGAAGGGGGACCCUAUGUAUGGAGCAGCAUAUCUGGUGCCAUCUGUCAGGAUGUGGAGGAGAGAGACUGGAUAACAAGAUCCUUAAUUCUUUAAUGCAUACACUGCCUCCAGUUCAGUUUCCUCUGAGAUGACAGACAAACAGAACUUUGUCUAUCAUUCUCUGUAUUAUCAUUUUCAGGUUCAGUUUCUCGCCUUUGACUUAAUUUCUUCUAUUUUAGAGGUGGUAGUAACAUUUUUAAAACACAAUUUAAAAACUAUAAAACUAGAAUUAGCUGAUGGAUCAACUUCAGCAGUCACAACCUUCACAGGUAAGUGUUUAUCAAUGUGACAUGAAUACUCUUCAAUCGUAAACAGCUGGAACUGUCCAACCUGAAAUUCAACUGGAUUAAAUGUGACUUCUAACAAAUAACAACUGCUGUUAGCACUUUAAAAGUAUGUAUUCGAUAUACAAACUCUUAAGUGUUUACUCAGAGAAUGUAAACUCUGAUGGUUACAUUUUGAAACCACAGCUCGUGUAAUUGAACAGUGUAUUUAAAAAACAUGAACCGAACAUGAUUAAACUGUACUGAGAACAUUUUC